rnacentral:lncRNA from 1 species
UAAUGCUGCAAGGAGUAACUGGCACUCAUCUGUUGUGGAACUGUGUGAUUCUGAUGAUGUUUCAUAGCAUCGGUUCAAGUUUUGCAUCACCAACUCAGCAUGUUUUAGAAAAAAGUGAAGUGGCGCCCAGCAAAUUUAAAGUGAAACUGAAAGAUGCAUCAGAAGCUCUUGUAAACUUCUUUGCUCCAGUGACAUGCCGUCACAAAGACAAGCAAGCCUUAAUUCCUUGUCCUGUAGGAGAGAGCAUUAACACAACAGAAUGCUUGGAAAAUAAAUGUUGUCCUUCCAAAACCAGCCAUGAACUGAAAUGUUAUACCCCGUUUAAAGACAAUCUGCAGCUGACAUUUCGAUUGUUUGUGCUUGGAGCAGGAGGAUUUUUUAUUUUGGGGUGUCUACCAUUUUGUUGCUGUGCCUGUUUGCAGAGGAGUCAAUGUUUCAAUCCUUUACGAAGUGCAAGUAAAGAAGUAGAACAAAUUGUGCAGAAGAAAAGAGCACAUAGUGAAAAUAAUCAYGGCUUUUUAUCGGAUUUACUUAAGAAAAACUCCAAGGGCCAUAAGAGCAAGAAAAAAGAGGAACAUUCAGCUGAUCUCGAAGACCUCAAGCAGGACAAGGACACCAGGCUUACUUGAGUAUGCCCUGGAGCGUGAGGUGUUUUUUCUAGUGUCAAAUGAAUAUAACAUUAUCACUCUUUGAUAAUGCUAUUGAUUUUUGCAUUAAGAAGUUCUUCUUAGUUCUUCAUACUCACACCAUAUCUUCUGUAAAAGACUAGUAAUGCUAAAUUGCUUUUGGCAAUUCCUGAAUGCUGAAGCCAGUCUUUUAUUAUUAAUAUAGAAUACCAGUGGAGGGCAACUAAGGAUACCAGUUAAGUGACUGUCCUAGUUAAUAGGUCAGUCUUAGAAUAUUGUCUGGAUUAAGAGAAGGUAGUUGUCAUUCAUUAAAUCAGCAGUGAGUGGCAAGCUUGCUUUGCUUCAGUAUUGGAUGCUACCACAGCAGAGUGGUACUACUCCUAAUGAGGUGAAUGGCUAAUCCUUUACCAGGCUGCAGAGGAUUCAGGCAAUCUGUUGGGCAGUUGCUUUAGAGAUAUACUUACAGAAUGUCAAUAGAAAUCAGUAUUACCCAUAAUGAUGCAAUCACUGGUUCUUUUUCUUUGGGUCUGUGAAAUCCAUGUAGCAUAAUUUUCAAGAAUUAGAACUGGGAGGAAUGGAGCUUUGCUCCUAACCUAGAGAAUAAAUAUUAUGAGUGAUUCUUAGAAACUCUGUAC